UAUAUGAUUAGAUUUUCAGAAAGGCACACUCAUUUCUUUACAAAACAAAAAACAUCACUAUGAAUUACUCCUCACCAGAAGCUGUCAAUAAAUUGACAUUUCCUUAAUAAUUAAAAAAUGUCUUGUUAUUGGUUUAGUACUUUUAUUAAACAGUCAUUUAAGUUUUCGUCUUAGUUUUGAUUCUCCUCAUGAAAACUGCAAAUCUUCGUGUGCUUCUUUUCAUACAGUAACAUCAUUUCUCCUGUAGAGGGCAGCAUUGGAUCACAGUUCCUGCUAAAGUCCUACUUGUGGCCUUAACUUCACAUCAAGACUAUUAUGUCUGUGUUCAGGGUUCUUAUCAGUGGGUCCUGAGGGAUGAAGAUUGUAAACUCGUUUGCUUUUGGUUUUUAUACAAACAGUGGUGCUACACUGGUCCACAAACAAAAGACUUCURCAUCUGGACCACGUUCCUGUUUUUCAAGCCAGUUCUCCGACCCUGCAGGCUCUCAGGAGGGAGAAAACGACACGUUCGGGGACUGAAAGAAGGUGUUUUCAGUUAACGGAUGGAGAAAAGACAAGAAUUAUGAAGAGUGGGUGAGAAGAAAAAUGACACAAGUCGUCUCCCCCCCACCUUCCCCUCCUCUUCCCUUUUCAGRAAAGCACUGAAAGAAGAAAUUACACCAUGGAAGUUAAUGAAGUCUCACGAGUUGAUGAGGGGAAAAUUGCGGCGAAGAGGGGUCAGUGCUUUCUCUUUAGCCUUUCCCUCUUCUGCGUAAAAUGGCUGCGGUCGAGAUCCAUACUUUUAGAGGACGCUGAGCUCUUCAACGCGGAGAUAGAGAAAGGGAGAUGGUGGUGGGUGGGGGGGCUCCAAGAUUAAUGGUAUUAAGUGGUAGCACUUGGCAAUGUGGUAACAUAUCGUCUGUGUUCUCUACUAUUGGGCUGAUCAUUUCAUAGACCUUGUCUUUACACAAUGACUUUUAGCUGUGAUUUACCUGAUUCAAAUAAUCCCGUCAUCACAAGCCCUGCAACCAUCCUUGGUGCAGAUCCACACCAAGAGUUGGGUUUAUCAAAUAAUAAAAUACAAUCUGCAACUUCAAACAGUUUGAUGCCUCCUGCACUCGCUGGAUAUCAUGCAAAAGUCCCCAAAAAUCUGAACUUUGUCUUCAAAAUUUUAUUUAUUUGUAGCAACAGUUUUUCCCCUUGGUUUAAUGUCACUGAGAAUUGAAGAGGUUUUAUUUGUUGUUGUUUCUUUUUUUUAAUAUAUGUACAUGUUGACAUUUUUGGAUAUGUGAACCCUUUUCUAGAUCAUUGGAGGAGGAUGCACAUUUUAUCUGACAGGAACACACACAGGACCAUCCUUGUGAUGAAGUAGCGCCAACGAGAAGUCACUCAAGUCAAACUCUCUUCCUUCUAAUGAGCAAAGUGUCCCAUGGACGCCACAUCUGAGACACACAAAAGUAAAUGUGUCACAAGUGCACACGAACGGCCUUCAAUGGGAUGAAAUCCAGAGGAUUUGGACCAAAGUCCAAUCCGCCUUUGAGUAACUUUAAAAGGCCUCAUGGUGUUUGGAGUGAAGAACGAAGAGAAAACGGAUGUGUGUGUGUGAGGGUACAGUUUGAGAGAGGGGUGGUGGUGGGUGGGGGGGAAUCGGCUUGUUUCGACCAGAGCCGCCAUCAAAAUCUCCCCUGGUCUAUCUCAGUCCCUCAGYCCUCUACUUAAGACCAAAAGCGGCAAAAAAAGCGAUGGAAUGUUAGAUAACGAGAAAAAAAAAGACACAGAGAGCGGAAGAUGGAAAGUGAGAGGAACAGCAGUGUGGAAGCCCCUCAGCGUGUGUGCUGCCUCUCUCCCACCGUGCAGUGCGCCAGCCUGCCCCUCUCAGCCUAUUCAAAGAGAGUGUGUGGUGGCGCAGGAGUGUGUGCAUGUGUGUGUGUGUGUGCGUUUCUUCACAGAUGUCCUUGAACAGAACCCCCAUCGGCUCUGCGGAUCCCUGCUGCCACUGGAGAACAUUUGACAAGCAGCAGGCUCUUGUUAGAGCGCUGUCAAAUUAAAGGUGUCUGAGUGUGUGUGAGUGUGUGUAUGUGUUUCAGAGGCUCUAUUCAGAGCCCUGUCAAAUUAAAACUACCAAACAAACUGUGCGUGUCACACAGACAGGCCAGGUCCUGUCUGUGACGGCAGAGGUAGGCUUAGGGCUGCUUUGUCUGCGUUCGUGUGUGUAUGUGUGUGUGUGUGUGUGUGUGUGUGUAUAAGUGUAAGGAAAAAAGACUUUUCAGCAGGCCUCUUCUUGUGUAUGCAUCUUUCACUUGUUUGCAACAAAACAAAUACAUGCAUUUCUGUGGAGGUAGAAUCAGAUGGGUUGUGUGUUAAAAUAAAACACAGGUGUACAAAUGUCUAACCUUAGCAAACGGUGAGGUAUAAAAGUCUCUUAUUAUGCACCAGACAUACAGAGGCUCUAAAAAGAAAUGUGAUUGGUUACUUUGCACUUACUGCGCUAUAUUGUACAACACUUCAGCUCCAGCUUUGAAUUUAUUUCAAAACUAAAAAAAAAAAAAACAAUAACUGAGAAUUAUGAUCAAAAUAACUGGAAAAUGAUUUUGGAGAAUUCACACUACCUGCAGUUUGAAUCCUUGCCUUGGUUUUUAGAGUUUCAUUGAAMCCCUUUAUUUUUUCUUGUGUUUCAUUGGCCAUGUUUCCAUCUACGGUGCACACGAAGGGACAUGGAGAGGUUAUUAUUAUUUUGCAUUCCCACACAAUACUUUUUCAUUACCUCGCAUUACUUUUUGCAUUCCCAUGCAAACAUUUGCAUUCUCUCGCAAAAUUGAUUUGUGUUCCCUCGCAAAAGUUUAAYGUUUUGUAUGAACUGUAUUUGGAAAUAUCUGGUUAGUGAAACAGGAUGUGUUGYACACAAGUAUUGUAUGGCUGCACGAUAGAGUUAUAAUAUUUAAAUAUUGCAGACGUCCAUGCGUGGCUGUGAUACAKUCAUACCGAAGCUGCACUAAAGUAGUAAGCUAACUYGUAUAMUGGCGAGCAUGUGAAUUUGUUAAUUAAGCAGCAGGCACAACMGUAAUAAACAGCUUUUGCGAUGUWAUGCAACAGAAUUGCGUGGGAAUGCAAAAGGAAGAAAUCCUCCCUUGUCACCUUGUGGGCUCCGUACCAUCCAACUGUAAUUCAACAUUUGAGUGAACUUUUAAAUGUCAAAUAAAAAGAAAAUCAAAUUA